GUCAGGAUGGCCGAGUGGUCUAAGGCUCUGCGUUCAGGUCGCAGUCUCCCCUGGAGGCAUGGGUUCACAUUCCACUCCUGACA